UUCGUGUAUAUCAAUCAGAAUGCAUGAUUAAUAAUGACGAACACACAUCACCCAGAACACCUACGUAUCCCUUCACACCUUCCUCCUCCAACUCUCCACCGUUGUGAUCUAAGCCCCUUUUCUGUCUUUCGACGAUUUGUCAGUCACCACUGCCGGAGUCACAGUUGCCUUCUGCUCGAUAGCGAUGGGGAAUCGAGGAUGGCGGCGGAGCUGUCAUGUGGGCUGGUUGUCUUAAACGACUGCUAAUCCCGUGAGAGCGGAGGAGGAUCGAACCCGAUGCUGCUGCAGCUCGGAAGUCGACGUAGACUGCCUUCGCCCGUGCCACGAAAGAAAGAAAGUCGAUUCGAUCCACCUCGGGCAGGCAUCCACGAUUUGGAGUCGAUGCAGAAAGGCAAUAUACAAUUAUCUGCGCUUCAACUGUUUGUCAAUAUAGUACUGAGAGUUCCUAUUCUAGUUUCUUUACUAUAUCGUUUUGUUUCUGCUCGUCCUCGUCGUAUGAUAUCUCCAUCCAUAGGCGUGCAUUUCUGUAUUCUAACGGUAGUUAUAAGGUAGUUUCAAUAACUACCUCAUGAUCUAGUAGUUAUAGGGUGGUUGUCACUAGCUCUUAUAAAUAGGACCGUAGUUCAUGUAGCAAGGUAUAUAGAGAUAGAGAAAGAUAGAGAGUCUGUGUGCAUUUGAUAUCUUGUAAGUGU